UACGUAGGCAGCAAGCGUUGUUCGGAUUCAUUGGGCGUAAAGGGUGCGUAGGUGGCAUGGUAAGUCGGAUGUGAAAUCCCGGGGCUUAACCCCGGAACUGCAUUCGAUACUGCUGAGCUAGAGUACUGGAGAGGAGAUUGGAAUUUACGGUGUAGCAGUGAAAUGCGUAGAUAUCGUAAGGAAGACCAGUGGCGAAGGCGGAUCUCUGGACAGUUACUGACACUGAGGCACGAAGGCCAGGGGAGCAAACGGG
rnacentral:rRNA from 1 species